UACGUAGGGGGCAAGCGUUGUCCGGAAUCAUUGGGCGUAAAGCGCGUGUAGGCGGCCUUGUAAGUCCGUUCUGAAAGUCCGGGGCUCAACCCCGGGAGGCGGAUGGAUACUGCAAGGCUCGAGUCCGGAAGAGGCAAGUGGAAUUCCCGGUGUAGCGGUGAAAUGCGCAGAUAUCAGGAGGAACACCGAUGGCGAAGGCAGGUCUCUGGGCAUUAACUGACGCUGAGGAGCGAAAGCAUGGGGAGCGAACAGG
rnacentral:rRNA from 1 species